UCAAGUUUUAUUGAAUCAGCGCGUUUAAAAGGUGUGUCAUAGGGUGGAGCGAGAGGAGGAGGGAUCAAAAUUAAUACAUACACACACACAUAUGUAUAAACAAGUAACUCCUGAUGUCGCCAGCACUAAAAUCACCACUUGAUCUUUUCUCAUGUAGGAGAAAUGAGCACCUACCAGAUUCAAUUAACGCAGGGUACAGGGAGGGGAGGGGGAGCGGAUGGCCACACAUGACGAGGAGGUGGGGGGCAACCACCUACCCAGAACCCACAGUCCAGGCGGCGGCGCGAGGAGGAAACGUCCCCCACAUCUCAUACCAGAUUCCACGCUUUAGACAUAAAGGCGGAACGAGGUCAUCCCCAAAUUCCACAAGCGAGGAGGAUACUGUCACCACUCGGAUCCCAGAACUCAAGGACAGAGAGGGCCGUCCCCACGCCGUUCCUGAUGGGAGGUAUCUAACUGCGGGCUGUCUAAAGUACCUCGGGUUAUCUUAGAAGACUGUUCCCUCCGGCUGAGGCCUUCACCCGAACUGCUUCUCCGACCUACGCGCGCUUCGCCUUCACGCCAGACCUCCUACCCCCCAUCAGGCUAACCGUUAUUCCCAGUUGUCCUUCCUACUUUUCAAGCUAGAGUAUUAAGUAAUGAAUGAUUCUUGGGGGUGUAUGAAAGAUUCCAAUACAAACAUGGGAUUAGGGAAUCCCAUAUUUAGGUGGAGCUAUCAAUGGGAAGGAAGGUAAGUCUUGAGGAAGACAGGAUGCAGCAAAACGGUUCUAUUUAAUAUGGGACAUUUAUUAGCCUGAGCCAGACAUAGAAGAGCCCAGAAAGGUGUACAUUGGUAUUUCUGUUUUGCAAGAAUGGAAAUAUGGAUUCAAAUAGCUAUUCAGGGCUAAAGCCAGGAUUUGAAUCAUAUACUAGUCACCUUUGUUAGGUGUGAGAAAGGACUACAACAUUUUUCGUCCUGGUAUUUCUCCGUGUUUAAAAACAGGGGAAUGAGGGAAGACAUCUUGAAUGCCUUUGGUGUCUACAUGUAAGGAAGUAGCCAUUUGAGGAUCCUUCUUCCUAACCCAGCUUUAGAAAGCAGCCCUUGGGUAGUGCCCUAUAGACCAGAGUGUGACCUAAUGACAAAAUAUAAUUUAAAAUAGAAAGUAGUAACCAGGACUAUUGCAGUGACAAGAACUCCUAACUCUAGUCAGGCUCCUCUAAAUUCCUCAAGGCCCUAAACUUGGGUUCUGUGGUUGGCCCCCAUAUUCCAGUUUUAGCAAGAAUCUAUCUGAGUCACUUUAACCCCUGUCUUGCAUCUGACCCCCUUAGCCUGCCUUCAGCAAAAAUCCUAUCAAGGAGGUUUAGCCAGAAUUCUCCUUAGCCCUGAUGUUUCUUCUUAGCAAUUUUCUAUCCAUUUAUCCCACCCUGUUCCUCGCCCAUAAAUCCAUGCUUGUCCUUUUUGUAUUCAGAAUAGAGUCCAGUUCUACAGUGAGCUCUCCCUUUCCCUAUUGCAACAGCUCCUGAAUAAAAUUUGCCUUCACUA